GGAGGGGUACCCAAGUGGUUCAAGGGGACGGUUUGCUAAACCGUUAGUACCGCAAGGUAGCGAGAGUUCGAAUCUCUCCCCCUCCG
rnacentral:tRNA from 1 species